GGGCCCUUAGCUCAGCGGAUUAGAGCGGCUGACUACGGAUCAGCAGGCCACAGGUUCAAAUCCUGUAGGGCCCA
rfam:Methylacidiphilum infernorum V4, complete genome.